ensembl:snRNA U6 U6 spliceosomal RNA
GUGCUCUCUUCGGCAGCACAUAUACUGAAAUUGGAAUGAUACAGAGAAGAUUAGCAUCCCCUGCACAAGAAUGACACGCAAAUUCAUUGAAUGUUCCAUAUUUUU